rnacentral:rRNA from 1 species
GACGAACGCUGGCGGCGUGCCUAAUACAUGCAAGUAGGACGCAGUUGCGAACGGGUGAGUAACGCGUAUGUAACUGCCUGGUAGCGGGGGAUAACUAUUGGAAACGAUAGCAAAUACCGCAUACUACUAGAUGGACCUGCGUUGUAUUAGAUAGUGGGUGGCGUAACGGCGCACCAAGGCAAUGAUACAUAACCGACCUGACAGGUUGAUCGGCCACACUGGGACGGAGACACGGCCCAGACUCCUACGGGAGGCAGCAGUAGGGAAUCUUCGGCAAUGGACGGAAGUCUGACCGAGCAACGCCGAGUGAGUGAGGAGGGUUUUCGGAUCGUAAAGCUCUGUUGUAAGAGAAGCGGUAUCUUACCAGAAAGGGACGGCUAACUACGUGACAGCAGCCGCGGUAAUUC